rnacentral:rRNA from 1 species
CCUACGGGUGGCAGCAGUGGGGAAUAUUGCACAAUGGGGGAAACCCUGAUGCAGCAACGCCGCGUGAGUGAAGAAGUAUUUCGGUAUGUAAAGCUCUAUCAGAAGGGAAGAAGAUGACGGUGCCUGAGUAAGAAGCCCCGGCUAACUACGUGCCCGCAGCCGCGGGAAUACGUAGGGGGCAAGCGUCGUCCGGAUUUACUGGGUGUAAAGGGGGCGUAGAAGGUGAGUCAAGUCUGAAGUGAAAUCCCGGGGCUCAACCCCGGGACUGCUUUGGAAACUGCCUGACUGGAGUGCUGGAGAGGCAAGCGGAAUUCCUAGUGUAGCGGUGAAAUGCGUAGAUAUUAGGAGGAACACCAGUGGAGAAGGCGGCUUGCUGGACAGUAACUGACGUUGAGGCUCGAAAGCGUGGGGAGCAAACAGGAUUAGAUACCCGGGUAGUC